rnacentral:rRNA from 1 species
GACGAGGGAUCCUAGCGUUGUUCGGAAUCAUUGGGCGUAAAGCGGAUGUAGGUGGCUCCAUAAGUCAGGUGUGAAAUCCCAGGGCUCAACCCUGGACGUGCAUUUGAUACUGUGGAGCUUGAGUGCUAGAGAGGCUAUUGGAAUUCCUGGUGUAGUGGUGAAAUACGUAGAUAUCAGGAGGAACAUCAGAGGCGAAGGCGGAUAGCUGGCUAGACACUGACACUCAGAUCCGAAAGCGUGGGGAUCAAAC